GACGAACGCUGGCGGCGUGCCUAAUACAUGCAAGUAGAACGCUGAAGGAGGAGCUUGCUUCUCUGGAUGAGUUGCGAACGGGUGAGUAACGCGUAGGUAACCUGCCUGGUAGCGGGGGAUAACUAUUGGAAACGAUAGCUAAUACCGCAUAAUAGUAGAUGUUGCAUGACAUUUGCUUAAAAGGUGCAAUUGCAUCACUACCAGAUGCACUCGCGUUGUAUUAGCUAGUUGGGGGGGUAACGGCUCACCAAGGCAACGAUACAUAGCCGAACUGAGAGGGUGGUAGGCGGCACUGGGGAGGGGACACGGACCAGACUCCUACGGGACGCAGCAGUAGGGAAUGUUCGGCAAUGGACGGAAGUAUGACCGAGCAACGCCGCGUGAGUUAAGGAGGUUCUCGGAUCGUAAAGCUCUGUUGUGAGUGGAGAACGGGUGUGAGAGUGGAAAAUUCACACUGUGACGGUACCUUACGAGAAAGCGCCGGCUAACUACGUG
rnacentral:rRNA from 1 species